GUUACAGUCGCCUAAUGGAAGGGCUACAACCUUCUAAGUUGUCCGUUGCGAGUUCGAGUCUCGCCUGUAAUA
rnacentral:tRNA from 1 species